GACAGAGGAUGCAAGCGUUAUCCGGAAUGAUUGGGCGUAAAGCGUCUGUAGGUGGCUUUUUCAAGUCCGCCGUCAAAUCCCAGGGCUCAACCCUGGACAGGCGGUGGAAACUACCAAGCUGGAGUACGGUAGGGGGCAGGAGGGCUCGUAGAGCCGGUGGAGCGGUGAAAUGCGUAGAGAUCGGAAAGAACACCAAUGGCGAAAGCACUCUGCUGGACCGCAACUGACACUGAGGGAACGAAAGCUAGGGGAGCGAAUGGG
rnacentral:rRNA from 1 species